rnacentral:rRNA from 1 species
GGGGAAUAUUGGACAAUGGGGGCAACCCUGAUCCAGCCAUGCCGCGUGAGUGAAGAAGGCCUUCGGGUUGUAAAGCUCUUUCGACGGGGACGAUGAUGACGGUACCCGUAUAAGAAGCCCCGGCAAACUUCGUGCCAGCAGCCGCGGUAAUACGAAGGGGGCUAGCGUUGUUCGGAAUUACUGGGCGUAAAGCGCGCGUAGGCGGUGAUCUUUGUCAGAGGUGAAAGCCUGGGGCUCAACCCCAGAAUUGCCUUUGAAACGGGAUCGCUAGAGUCCGAGAGAGGAUGGCGGAAUUCCUAGUGUAGAGGUGAAAUUCGUAGAUAUUAGGAAGAACACCGGUGGCGAAGGCGGCCAUCUGGCUCGGUACUGACGCUCAGGCGCGAAAGCGUGGGGAGCAAAC